UACGGGGGGGGCAAGCGUUGUUCGGAAUGACUGGGCGUAAAGGGCGCGUAGGCGGUUCGUUGCGUCAGAUGUGAAAGCCCCGGGCUCAACCUGGGAACUGCAUUUGAUACGGGCGGGCUUGAAUCCAAGAGAGGGUGGUGGAAUUCCCAGUGUAGAGGUGAAAUUCGUAGAUAUUGGGAAGAACACCGGUGGCGAAGGCGGCCACCUGGCUUGGUAUUGACGCUGAGGCGCGAAAGCGUGGGGAGCAAACAGG
rnacentral:rRNA from 1 species